rnacentral:snoRNA from 1 species
CUGCAGCCAAUUAAGCCGACUGGGUUCCUUUCCUCAUGAGGGCCCAGUGUGCAAUGGCUGCAAACAGCAGCUUCCUUGGUAGUGUAUGCAGCCUGUUUCUUGUACGGGUUGCUCUAAGGAACCUUGGAGACGGGC